UGUAAUUUGACUCAUUUGAGAAUUUAGAACCAGCCAGAGCCUUCCCCCUACAGCUCCCCUGGGGGGCGGGGGAAGGGCAUGAGACAGGUCACUUUGCUCAAAUGACAAGGUGGUGAUGACCCGGGACUCUGUUGUGAUGCAGUGAUUGUUGGGUCAGUCCCCAGGGGCUGCAGCAUUUCACACCAGGCUGUCACCCAGAGCACAUGGCUGCUGCCUGUGGGUCUGAGUACAGGGACCAGGGUGAUGGAGCAGGGCCUUUGGGACCAACCUGCUUCCAUUGCUAAAGGGAACGUGAGACACAGAAGGAUGAAGGAAAAUAUUCUUGUCCAACUGCAACGUAACCUCUUAUUUCUGUUGAUUUGAUCACUGCAGCUUGUCUGUCAGAAGUAGUAAGAGAACCUGUUCCUAUCAAGAGGUAAGGAAUGCACCUUCUCCUAGCAAUGGAGUGGAAACUAACCAAUCUGAGUGUACUUUCAGGUGAAGGAAGUGAAUCUAGCCUUUGCUGUCAAAGGCUACAAGCAGUUUCAUAAGAAUAAAGCAGGAUACAUAACCAAAGCUUCUGAGGUUACAGAAGUAUUGACUUGUUCCAAUCAAGAAUAAGGAAACCACUGAUACCUACCAGAUUAAAAAUACAGCUGAUUGUAUGGAGAGAAAGAGAGAAACCAAUCCAGCAAUUCAUCACGCAGAAGAAAGUCAUAUUUCGAGAUGCAAGGAUGACACAUGGCUGUAGUUUACAGGAAGGAAUUAGCGGAUCCAUCCUUUUAAGGAGGUAAGAAAUAUGGGAAUGGUGUAUUGUAAUAGUCAAUGGUUCUGGACAUACUUUCAGGUGGAAGGAAGGUAACUGAUGUAAUCUUAAUCUCUCUAAAGAGCAUGAGAAGUUGCUGUACGGAAUAAAGCACUAAAAAUGGGAGCUACCUGUUCAGAUGAAAGGAAAGUAGUUGGUAAUUCUAACCAAUGAUGAUGAUCUCUGCUCCUUUUUCCUUCCCAGAGAAGGCCAUUGCUUGUUCCUACAAGGAUGUAACAGGGAAGUUAUUUCAAAGAACAAGUGCACUAACCAAAGUGUGAAGAUGAGCAUUGAGCCUGUUCUUCCAUUUGCAGAGAGGAGUUGUCCAGCUGAUUCUAUUUGUGCCUAAUUGAUCAUUGUUGCUUAUUUUUCAGAUGUCAAGAACUAAGUGGAACUGAUCAUUUCUAUCAAGAGGUAAGGAAGGCACCUCCUCACAGCAUGGAGGCACGAAUUAAAGGCUCUGUUUCUAUUUUCAGGUGAAAGGAAGGUCUUACCAUUCAAGGGAGGAUGAGAGGCUGCUGAAUUUAAGAAAAAAGAAGUCAGACAGGUUUUGCUCUUCUGAGAUAUGAACAGACCAGGUGGUCAUUCCUACCAGGGAGAAGUGAGGCUCAGUGGCUGUCCCGGGCAAGGAGACAAAAAAAGCCACUUCAAGUAGUUCAGCUAGUCGCAAAUCUGAAUCAAGUCAGCAGAACAUCACAGACAUGGAGAUGAGAGAAAUGCAGCUGAGUUGAACGUUGAGGGUGUGAAAACUUCAGGAAGUUGCUAGAAGAUCUACAGAAAGGAAACAAGCAAAACUCAUCACUGCUACCAAGAGGAGGAGAGUUACAGAUGCUCAGGAUUUGAGUACAACGGAACAGGAAUGGAGCUAAACAGAUCCAACACCUGAAA